rnacentral:rRNA from 1 species
UACAGAGGUCUCAAGCGUUGUUCGGAUUCAUUGGGCGUAAAGGGUGCAUAGGCGGCGCGGUAAGUCGGGUGUGAAAUCUCGGAGCUUAACUCCGAAACUGCAUUCGAUACUGCCGUGCUUGAGGACUGGAGAGGAGACUGGAAUUUACGGUGUAGCGGUGAAAUGCGUAGAUAUCUGGAGGAACACCGGUGGCGAAGGCGGCGUUCUGGACUGCAACUGACACUGAGGAACGAAAGCCAGGGGAGCAAACGGG